GCAAUGAGUAUGCCUAUAGUCACU
rnacentral:siRNA from 1 species